rnacentral:rRNA from 1 species
UUGAGCGGAGAUAUAUGGAGCUUGCUUUAUAUAACUUAGCAGCGAACGGGUGAGUAACACGUAGAUAAUCUAUCCUAUACUGGGGGAUAGCCCGAUGAAAGUUGGAUUAAUACCGCAUAUAGCUAUAUAGUUGCAUGAUUAUGUAGUGAAAGAUUUAUUGGUAUAGGAGGAGUCUGCGGCACAUUAGCUAGUAGGUGAGGUAAAGGCUUACCUAGGCGACGAUGUGUAGCCGGUCUGAGAGGAUGAACGGCCACAAUGGAACUGAGACACGGUCCAUACUCCUACGGGAGGCAGCAGUGGGGAAUAUUGCACAAUGGGGGAAACCCUGAUGCAGCAACGCCGCGUGAGUGAAGAAGGUUUUCGGAUUGUAAAGCUCUGUUAGCAGGGAAGAGGAAGGACGGUACCUGCAGAGGAAGCCACGGCUAACUACGUGCCAGCAGCCGCGGUAAUACGUAGGUGGCAAGCGUUGUUCGGAAUAACUGGGCGUAAAGGAUGCGUAGGCGGUUAAACAAGUUAUAUGUUAAAUAUAUAGGCUUAACCUGUAGAAAGCAUAUAAAACUGUUUAACUAGAGUGCAGGAGAGGUAAGUGGAAUUCCUAGUGUAGCGGUGAAAUGCGUAGAGAUUAGGAAGAACACCAGUGGCGAAGGCGACUUACUGGACUGUAACUGACGCUGAGGCAUGAGAGCAUGGGGAGCAAACAGGAUUAGAUACCCUGGUAGUCCAUGCUGUAAACGAUG